AGCAGUCGCCGCGGUAAUACGGAGGGUGCAAGCGUUAAUCGGAAUUACUGGGCGUAAAGCGCACGCAGGCGGUUUGUUAAGUCAGAUGUGAAAUCCUCGAGCUUAACUUGGGGACUGCAUUUGAAACUGGCAAGCUAGAGUCUUGUAGAGGGGGGUAGAAUUCCAGGUGUAGCGGUGAAAUGCGUAGAGAUCUGGAGGAAUACCGGUGGCGAAGGCGGCCCCCUGGACAAAGACUGACGCUCAGGUGCGAAAGCGUGGGGAGCAAACAGGAUUAGAUACCCGCGUAGUCCCUGUCUCUUAUAC
rnacentral:rRNA from 1 species